CCUCCUCCUCGUCUCUGGAUUCUGCUCACCUACCAUCCAUGCAGUAGACUGAGCACAAAUUGUUACACCAGUGAAUGCAACAGUGAAGUCCCUUGUCUCCCUUACAACAGUAUCCGCAACCCGUGGUGUGAAUAUGACUGAAGUGCCUGGGGACACAACAGGUGCAAGAGGCUCUUGACCAACAAAGAGGGGACAUAUUGAACCGUUGUUAAGAUUAACAAGGGUUAAGCCACCGGCAACAUCAGUUACAGCUGGAAGCACGUAGUAUUCUACACCACUUCUAAGAGGUUGGCCAUCUGCAUCAAGCACAGCAGGCCAGGUUUGAGCCAUUGUGGAUGUGGCCAUGAGUAGCCAUAUAAAGCUCAAGCUUCCAAUCAAUCUCAACAUGGCUGCCUAGAGCUAGCUAUCUCGCACAACAAAAAAGAAGUAAAUAUUAUAUGUGCUGGUUCUUAAAAUUAAGACGCUAUGAGCAAUUUGUAAUCCUUCUUUUCAUCCUUUGCUUGAGAUUUGCCAUCUUUUUAUAGUGGAAGGAGUCGACAUACCACAUUUCUCUAUUACGGCACGGCAACAAAAAAGUCCUUGGGUAAUUAUCCAUUUUCAUCUGUUGCAUUGUUAUCUAAUGAAUCCAGUUUAACGGUGUCUUUAAUACACUUAGGGAUAUUGUCUCAUGGGUGGACUAAUUAUGAAGAGAUCUGUUGGAGCAAGUAAUCGAAGGAGGAAAACAGAGGAAAUAUGCUCCCAUAGUCCCAUGUGCCAUUUAAUUUAAAAAAAAUAUAAAUUCAUUAUAUAUUUAUCCCAUAGAUAUAUUUAUUUUAUGUUUUUGUUCUUAUCCUUUUAACCAAAUUUUUUUUUUUUGUAUCUGUUUUUAUUUUUAUUUGUUCGGCGAUACUAAUCAAACGUUGUACAAAAUUAACUCGAGGAACAGUGUAAAACCAAAAAAAUGGCAGCUGAAAUACUUAGACUGUAAGCUUUGAAAUACUGUCUCAUGGGUAGACUAAUUAUGAAGAAAUCUGUUGGAGCAAGUAAUCGAAGGAGGAGGAGAACUAUUCACAACCGGAACAAAAUUAAUGAUCGCUUCCAAAUUCUUUGAGCUGGUUAAUUAUCAGGAACUAGGUAACGGGAAAAUGCUAGUACCUAGAAAGUCAUUAUCAAAUUCAUAAAGGAUUUGAAUGUUCAGUUUGACCAAAUUUCUAGUGUAUACCCACAAUUAAAGCAAUUGAAUUUCCCAAAAAAUCGUCUACUUUCAAUACCAUGUGUGUGGAUAUGCUAGAGAAAAGUCUGUGUUGUCUUAAUUAGCCAAUUAAUUAAUUAAAGACAAUAAAACAAGGGUUGGUUGGAGCAUACUAUUCAUUUUGAACAAUUCCUAGUUUUACUGCUGGAAAUUAUCAGACAAUGAGGAAUACUCAACUCUUUAUGCUCUUGCUACAGUUAACCAAUCCCUUUCAGAUUACUAGUCCAACCCAAGAAUAACUAUAUUAAUGUCUUGAAGUUUCUCGCAACGCUAUAAGAUUUUGCACUCUGUGCAGUUUCUUAAAGCUCCUCUAGUCUCACAGCUAGAAAUUAGUUGAUUAAUUUGCAAGGAAUUUCGCAAUAACUUGGUUAAAUCUUUGCAUUGUUUGGCAAUGUUUCGAAGUCUUGAAACAUUAGUAAGAUUCUAACUUAUAUAUAUAUAUAUAUAUAUCUGCUAUUUUAGAUCAGUAUAUUGCUUAGGCUAUUUAUUUUAUGGCAUUUUUAAUAUAUUUUUGAUAAUUAUCCAAAAAAAAACCCUCCUAUUUUAGAUUCUCUUUUCUAUGCGGAUCCUCCCACGUUUCCUACUAAAACAAAAACAUGUUUCCCUUAACUUAUAUCUACUCUUAAUGUUUGUUGUUGGAGAGAAGUAAUUAAGCAAUCAUUCCCAUUCCAUAAAGAUAAUUCUCUAAUUAAAGCACAACAGCAAAGAUAGAUAACUAAAUUGAAUUAUUUGAUUAUGUUUUUAAUUCAAGUACUAGAAUUUAGUUAUUAAUUUCAGCGAGUGAUUUCGUUUGAUCGUCAAAUACCAAGUGUUCUAUACCUUCCACCUUCCAUUUCAUGAUAUCCACCUGAACUAUAUACACUAAAGUGGAAUGUUGAUGGUUUUUCUUUUGGCAAACGUGGUCCUACUGUUAAUGGAGGGGUUCUUCAUGACCAUAGUGACUUUGUGAUGAGUUAUUUAUCUGCACAUGUGGGAAUUAAAAAUUUAAAUGAGGCUGAAUAUUUGCUUCUUGUUAUUAAAGUGCUUGAAUUAUCUUCUUCAUUGGAGGAUUUUUCUUAAAGAAAUUUCAUCUUUCAAUCUGAUUAUAAGUGAAUAGAAUAUGUAGUUUUGUGGCUUGGAUCUAAUUAUCCCAUGUCGUGAUGUGGUGUCUCCAAUAUAUUGUGACCUUUUUUUGUGCUUAAUACUGCCUCCAUUCUAUGCUUCAGUUUUGAUUCACAGUUUUGAAUGUCUUUGUGGGUUUAUAGUAUCACAGCUCCAGAGAUUUUUUAUAUCGGUCAUGGUGUUUGCAAUUUUUUUUUUUUUAUUUCAUCACAGGUGUUGUUAUGCUUAUUCUUUUAUAUAUAUAAGAUAACUAAAUUGAAUUCUAAGCAUCAAGAAAGAUCUCCAUUUAUAUUCCUGAUAUUACAAUGACACCAAGGCACUUAUUCUUCUAUGGAGAAUAACUUAAGCGCUUCUAAAUAUAAAAUGAUUUAUUUGUACUAUUACAAUGCCAGAACGUCAUCUACUUAUAUUUUGCAAAGGAGAAGAACUCAAGCCCUUCUAAAGCUGAAAGGAAAUGCAGGGCCAUCUAUGGUUAAGAACCUCGUUCCAUUCUGUUCCAGAAUACCUGCAAUCCCACAUCUUGGCCUCCCACAAGGUGGAGGAGUGUUGCAUUCUGGGCAAUAGCCAAAAGUAUAGGGACCUGGUGCUUGAUUACGGCUAAUACUAAAGAUGGCUGGUUCAUCACCAAUCACAAUAAGUCUCCUUGUCGUCUCUGGGUCUUCCUCGCCUAUACCCCAUGUAGUAUCUGAAACACAAAUCGAAGCAGCUGAAAAUGCAACAGUGAAUUGAGUAUUUUCAGUGAUGACAGUCUCUCCAGAAUCUCUUGGGGUGAAGAUGACUGGAAGGCCUUGAACAUUACCAGAUCCAAUAGGAACCUGACCAACAUAAGAUGGACAAGAUCCAUUGCGAGUCACUAGAGUUAAACCACCAGCAACAUCAGUUACAGCAGGAUCUACAUAGUAUUCUACCCCUCUUGUAACAGGGUUUCCAUCAGUAUCAAGCACAGGAGGGCCCUGAGCCAAGCAUGAUACAGCCAUCAGUAGACAAAUGAAGCUCAAACCUUUAAUCAACCCCAACAUGGCUGCCUGUGUCAAACAACAAAAUUAAAUUGUACGAGCUUAGUUAUCAACCUUGAACUUGAUGAGAAAUUGUGUAAUUGUAAUGUCUUUGCACUUUGUGGUCUAUGCAUGGUAGCUAGAUUUUUAUAGGAAAUCUGGCGCAGGCAGGCAUGCGACUUUUCUACAAGAUAUCACAAAGUAAGCACGGCAACGAAAAGUCCACUUGUCUAUCCUAAUCAAUUACUGCUUUUACCGACCUAAUAAACCUUUGCAUCCUACUCUUUAAUUAUGUGUAUAUGGAUAGCAGAAAAAUUCAGAUAUUUGAAGUUUCAAUUUCUGAAAAGAUGAGUAGAAUGAUAGACAAUGAGAGUAAAAUGACUAUUAAUUCGCUCAAAUCUAUCCCUUCUACGUGAAAAAUGGUUCUAAUUAGCCCAUUGCUAGCUCUUAACCCAACCCUCUACCGCUAUUUAUGAUGUAUAAUUUGCUGGGUACUGGCUAAAUGUGGUAGUCUACCAAAUAGUAGCCAAUUAGGCAAUGAAGUCUUACAAGAAAUCCAUCACAAAGUCAAUAGGGGUUUUGUACUUGGGAACGAAUUUCAAUUGAGAAAUAAAUUUAAUACGUUUGGGCAAAUUGUGAAGGGAGAGGCUUAUCUUCAUAUUUGACUCAGCAUUACUACACACCAACACGCUGUCCAUGACGAUGCUCCCUCAAAUUCAUGAACUUCUAGAUAAAUUUUCUAUUACGUGAUAUAUAGAUAACAACCUAAAAAAAUCAAAGACGACAACAUCCUUUAAAAAUAGUACCUCCAAAUCAUAUAUUAUAAAAUUCUAGCUCCUAACUUGGGAUACCAGUUUUGUUAUCGAGACUUUUCUUUCACUGCAAUUUGGAAUUAGAAUUCAUCGAUGUUGUCUAUUGUGUCUUGCGUCUCCUCUAAUCAAUAAAUUUAUUAUAAAAUGCAUAUAUAUCACAUUUGUAGUUGUUUGUCGGCAUAUAUAUAUAUAUAUAUAUAUAUAUAUAUAUAUAUAUAUAUAUAUAUAUAUAUAUAUAUAGUAGGAUAUGGCAUGAAAAUAUUAUACUAAACUUGACCGAUUAAAAGGAUGAAAAGCUCCUGCAAACACUAAACACUCAAGAAUUCAAUAUAUAUCUCUUAUCUUGGCAAUCCUCUCAACAAUCUUAAUUAGCAUUGCGUGAUUCCUUUUCUUUUAUCUUUUAAACAAGGCCUUCUUGAGUGCAAAUAAGUUGUCUAUAUAUGACUGUUGGAACCAUAUCUUUUAAGACAAGUUUUACUCUGCGGAGUAUAUUUUGUUUUCGUUGACAAAUGUCGACCAGCACAAAUAUUUUUCUUAACUUGUGCAAAAUAAAAGUUAUUAAGUUUUUUGUUUUGUUUUGAUAAUAUCUUUCUGUUGGUUAUAAUACAUGAUGUUUCCAUUACACAUUGCAUUUAGAUUUAUUUCUCUAAAUAAGAUUUUUUUUAGGUAGAUUAGAGUCCAUUUUUGCCUAUUGACAAAUAAUAAACUAAUUAUUUUGACAUUUCUUCCACCUUAUCUUGAGUUGGUCAAUCUUCAUUUUCAUUAUCUAAGAUCUUUGAUCUCUUUUUGAGCAGCAUGUAUAAAGAAGGGAAGCCUGUACAAAGAGAGGCCUGGUAAUUACAAAGCUUGGUUGGAAUUAAUUUCCUUGCUUUCAAAUUAAUUUCUUUGUUGUCGUGCUCUCGAUCCUUAAUAGACCUGUACUUUGAUACCCCAAUUAUUGGUUGAGAUUAAUUUCCUUGUUGUCAUGCUUUCUUUAAUCUACCUAUGCUCUGAUACCCUAAUUAUUGAAAACACUAAACAUUCCUUAUAUUCGUAGAGAGAUUAUAGGAUAAAGUUAAAUUAUUCUAUUCUAACAAGGAUUCUAAAUACUAUUUUAAGGAUUCUAAACAUAAAUACUUUUAAGAUUAGGAUUCCUACUUGAUCUAGGAGUCCUUCUCGUAUCUCAACAAAAGCCACGAAGAAACUAAAAGUAAAAAAUUCUCAAUGCUCAAAAUGGCACAGGGAAAGAAAGAUCUCCAUUUAUUUGCUGAGGAUAAUCAGCAACUUAUGCCCUUCUAAACAUGAAAGGCUUGAUUUUAUUUACUAUUACAAUGACAAAAUGCCAUUUCUAUAUAUUUAUUUAUGUUAUGGAGAAUGAACCUAAUUAGCCCUUACAAACAUAAAAGUAAAUUCAGGACCAUCUAGGACUAAAAAUCUCGUUCCAUUUUGAAUCAGAAUACCAGCAGUUCCACACGUUGCCCUACCACAAUCUGGUUCGUCGACACAUUGUGGGCACCCUUGGAAAGUAUAGGAACCUCCUAAUUGAUUCCUGCUGUUAAUUUGAAAGUAGGAUGGUUCAGCUCCAGUCACAACAAAUCUCCUUCUCGUCUGUGAAUCUUCGCCACCUAUCGUCCAUGCAGUGUUUCGAACACAAGUUGAAACCCCUGAAAAUGUAACAGUGACCUCUGUAGAUUCAGUGAUGAUAGUCUCUUGAGGAUUUCUUGGUGUAAAGAUGACUGGAAUGCCUAGUCGACCGGAUCUAGCAGAUUCUUGACCAACAUAAAACGGGCAAGAUCCAUUGCGAGCCACUAGAGUUAAACUACCAGCAACAUCAGCCACAGCAGGGUCUGCAAGGUAUUCUACACCGCUUCUAAGAGGUUCACCUCCAGCAUCAAGCACAGGAGGGCUUUGAGCCAUAGUGGAUAUGGCCAUUAGUAGCCAUAAGAAGCUUAAACUUCCAAUCAACCUCAACAUUACAAGAAAACAGUACUGUGCUGUUUGUGCUUAGAAACUGAAGAACUUGGUACGAAACUGAUCGAGUAAUGAGUUCGCUUUUCAAGGUAUAGAAUAUGUGGGCUAGAUAUUUAUCGGAAAUGUGGUACACACACGGUGGCAUGCGGCAGUUUACAAGAUUUGAACAAUGGAGGCACGGCAACGAAAAGUCCAUUUCUCGUAUCGUAAUUAUUGUUGUUUGAACGAACAAGAUAACCCUAUCCUGUGACCCUGUCUGUACAUGGAUGACAGUAAAGUAGGAAUUAUUCCAAGUCGAAUUUCUGAUGAGGAGUAACGUUUGAGAUAGAGAGAGAACGUCUCCCAGCAUAGCCUAAUUGUAAUCGUUUUCUGUAUAUUAUUAUUAAUGUUGUUAUUAUAUUAUUAGGAAGUCCAAAAAAUCUUUGCUAUGAUUGGAGAGUAGAGUCCUCGAUCUUUUAUAUGAGAAUUACGAAAUCUGAGCUGGUUUAUAUAAAAACAUAUAGAUUUUCUAUCUAUUCUGAAAAAAAAAAAUUAUUGAGUUAUCAAAGAUUACCAAUCAAUUUAAAUCAAUUAUUUUUAAUAAAAAUAAUUUUUUUUUUGUGUUCAAUCAUUAAAUUUAAAUUAGAUUUGACUAGAUCAACUAGAUCAUAAAAAAUUCAGUUAGACCAAUCAAGUUUUACCAAGUCAAUAUUUUAUUGGUUCAAUUAAAAAUUAUAUUUGAAUCAGAUCUCAAAUCUCAAAUUAACUCGCUAGAUCGGACAAAUUUAAUAACAACUAAUGCUUAAACUUAGUUUUUUUAAUUAAAAAAAUUAAAAAAUGGUAUACUUAAUCUAACAAUUGUAUAUUCGUGGCUUGCUAUAAAGUUAGAGUCUUAUUAAUGAGUUCUCUUUCUCAUCUGCAAUCAUGUAAUAGGAAAGAAUUACUCAUAUGUUUUAUGAUUCGAAAUCUGUUGCUUUAUCAAGUUUGUGUUCGGCUAAUUCUAGCGAGGUGGUAGGAACUUGUAACAAAACCAAAUUCAGAUUUCGUAUUUGGGCCAAAUUGCAAUACUUGGGCCACUUUAAUUGACCAGGAAAGAAGUUGCCCACUUGGGCCGCCAUAAUUGACCCACGAAAGAAGUUGCCCACUUGGGCCGCCAUAAUUGACCCACGAAAGAAGUUGCCCAUUUGGGCACGUUAUCAUAGGUCAGAUCCAUAUCCACAUCGGGCCCAUGUUUGUUUGAGCAGUUCCUCUCAGUCAACUUGGCAAGAGAAAAAAUUCAAUCAUUAGUUUGGCAUGUACUGCACUUCUAACAUGAUUUCAUGGCUGUUGGAAAAUCCGAUCCCCAAACAAGACAAGUAUGUGCAAUCUGGUCCUAAUUAUACAUGUGCAACAAUUGAAGUUUUGAUAUGAAUUUAUAAAGCACAAUUUGCAUACGAGCUUCAUCCUAAUCAUGUACAAUAGUCACAGCCCUCACAGGACAAUAAAAUUAAUGAUUGAAAUAUUAUUUUAAAGAAGAAAUCAUUUAGAUAUACAAGAGGUAGAUUACAUUUUUUAUUCUAAUUCUUUUAUUUGUAUUUUUUAAUUUACAUGUAAGUAUAUAUGCGAUCAUAGGAUAACUCGAGUUGACAAGUUUUUCUUCAUAGUUUAGCUCUUGAGAGUGGUUAUUUAUUUAUAAAUCGUGUCAAAAAGUAUAUUUAAUAUACAUAUGUGUAUAGAAAGAGAUUUAGAUAUACCAUAAUUUAAUAAUAGUAAGUAUUAAUAAUUAUAUAUUAUCAUAUACAUCUAAACUCAAAAGCCUUUAUUUAUUGCCCAAGCUAUAUAUUCAAUAUUAGUCAAGAAUUAAAUAUCUCCAUUUAUUUUUAUAAUUAGCAAUGCAUUGACAAGAUGUCAUUGAUUAUUCUUGACACAUGGAGGCUAUUACAAGCUAUUCAAACCCUUCUAAAUAUAAAAGGAAAGGCGGAACCAUCCAAGACCAGCAAUCUCCUUUCAUUCUCAACGACAAUACCAGCAUCCCCACACAAAGGCUUGGGACAAACUCUGGUGAGACAAUUUGGACACCAUUGAAAAUUGUAGAGGCCUUGAUCAUUCUUGACAAUAUUGAAGUGCCAAGCAUUAGAAGAUGGAAUAGGAUCCGUUUCAGCCAAGAUAUACCUCCUCCGUGUCUCUGGAUUCCGCUCACCUACCCUCCAUGCAGUAGACUGAGCACAAAUUGUUACACCAGUGAAUGCAACAGUGAAGUCCCUUGUCUCCCUUAUAACAGUAUCCGCAACCCGUGGUGUGAAUAUGACUGAAGUGCCUCGGGACACAACAGGUGCAAGAGGCUCUUGACCAACAAAGAGUGGACAUAUUGAACCGUUGUUAAGAUUAACAAGGAUUAAGCCGCCGGCAACAUCAGUUACAGCUGGAAGGACGUAGUAUUCUACACCACUUCUAAGAGGUUGGCCAUUUGCAUCAAGCACAGGAGGCCAGGUUUGAGCCAUUGUGGAUGUGGCCAUGAGUAGCCAUAUAAAGCUCAAGCUUCCAAUCAAUAUUCUCAACAUGGCUAUAACAGGAAUAAACUAUAUAUUUCAGCAAAUUUUUUGGAAUUGGGACU
rnacentral:lncRNA from 1 species